rnacentral:lncRNA from 1 species
UAAGACGCUCUUCCAUGAGGGCAGAGACAUAUCUGUUUUACUCAUCAUUAUUUCCACAGUGCCUGCCCCAUAAGAGGAUCUUAGUAAACACUUGUUAAAUGGAUGAUUGAAAGUUGAAUUAUACACAGACUCUGCUCACGAGACUUGCAAGCAUUGAAGAUUAUUACUUGGGUAUUGAUGCUACAACCUUGGCCAAUGGGUGAAAAGCUAUGUGGGAGGCGAGGGGAGUGACAGUGCAAGGACCAUCUGGAAACUGGAACUGGGGAGAGUCAGGCUGUGGAGAUGAAGAGAAAGAACCAUUCCUAGAAAUCAGUCUCCGUUUAAGAUCCAUCAGACGUGGGAGGCAGGGCAGUGACCUGAAUGGUUCUCACCACUUGAUUGCUGCCUCUCUUUGUUGACAUGGAGUUUCACUAGGGCAGAAAAAUCCUCUCUGAAGCGAAGAGGAUGCUGCAGAAGAUGACUUCCUUUGGUCUAAACUGGAGGGGACCCGCAGAUACAUUGAGUUCUAAAUGGCCUGAGUAAGUAUUUGGUUGGGAUUACACUACAAAUCUUCACCAACUUCGCCACUCCCCAGCAUGUGGUUCCUGAAGUCUUACUUUUCCUGGCCUGGUGGUACCUAUUCUUUCUACUUCAGAACCCCAGCCUUCUGAGAUGGCCAAAGGCAGGGGGACUAUCUCCCACUAAGCUGGAGCUAGUGCUGGGCUGGAAUUCAAGCACUGAAGAUUGUCGCCAGGCCACCAUACCUCUGUUUCCAAUUCAGUUCCGUGUUUAAGUCAGUUUCUGAACCUUGGAGAGCUUGGCUCUUUUGGAAGCAUGUGACCAGGUGUGUGUUUUUUUCCUCUCAACACAUUAAUGCCAUUAAUAAGGUAUUAAUCUAUUA